rnacentral:rRNA from 1 species
AGUGAACGCUGGCGGUAGGCCUAACACAUGCAAGUCGAACGGCAGCACAGUAAGAGCUUGCUCUUACGGGUGGCGAGUGGCGGACGGGUGAGGAAUACAUCGGAAUCUACUUUUUCGUGGGGGAUAACGUAGGGAAACUUACGCUAAUACCGCAUACGACCUACGGGUGAAAGCAGGGGAUCUUCGGACCUUUCGCGAUUGAAUGAGCCGAUGUCGGAUUUGCUAGUUGGCGGGGUAAAGGCCCACCAAGGCGACGAUCCGUAGCUGGUCUGAGAGGAUGAUCAGCCACACUGGAACUGAGACACGGUCCAGACUCCUACGGGAGGCAGCAGUGGGGAAUAUUGGACAAUGGGCGCAAGCCUGAUACAGCCAUACCGCGUGGGUGAAGAAGGCCUUCGGGUUGUAAAGCCCUUUUGUUGGGAAAGAAAAGCAGCAGGUUAAUACCCCGCUGUUCUGACGGUACCCAAAGAAUAAGCACCGGCUAAUUUCGUG